GCGCCCGUAGCUCAAUUGGAUCAGAGCGCCAGACUACGGAUCUGUAGGUUGGGGGUUCGAGUCCCUCCGGGCGCACCA
rnacentral:tRNA from 1 species